rnacentral:rRNA from 1 species
AUUGAACGCUGGCGGCAUGCUUUACACAUGCAAGUCGAACGGCAGCGCGGGCUUCGGCCUGGCGGCGAGUGGCGAACGGGUGAGUAAUAUAUCGGAACGUACCCAAGAGUGGGGGAUAACGUAGCGAAAGUUACGCUAAUACCGCAUACGAUCUAAGGAUGAAAGCAGGGGAUCGCAAGACCUUGUGCUCCUGGAGCGGCCGAUAUCUGAUUAGCUAGUUGGUGGGGUAAAGGCCCACCAAGGCAACGAUCAGUAGCUGGUCUGAGAGGACGACCAGCCACACUGGAACUGAGACACGGUCCAGACUCCUACGGAGACAGCAGUGGGGAAUUUUGGACAAUGGGCGCAAGCCUGAUCCAGCAAUGCCGCGUGAGUGAAGAAGGCCUCGGUUGUAAAGCUCUUUUGUUCAGGGAAGAAAAGGUUAGUGGCUAAUAUCACAACUGCUGACGGUACCUGAAGAA